rnacentral:rRNA from 1 species
UGGGGAAUAUUGCACAAUGGGCGCAAGCCUGAUGCAGCCAUGCCGCGUGUAUGAAGAAGGCCUUCGGGUUGUAAAGUACUUUCAGCGGGGAAGAAGGGAGUAAAGUUAAUACCUUUGCUCAUUGACGUUACCCGCAGAAGAAGCACCGGCUAACUCCGUGCCAGCAGCCGCGGUAAUACGGAGGGUGCAAGCGUUAAUCGGAAUUACUGGGCGUAAAGCGCACGCAGGCGGUUUGUUAAGUCAGAUGUGAAAUCCCCGGGCUCAACCUGGGAACUGCAUCUGAUACUGGCAAGCUUGAGUCUCGUAGAGGGGGGUAGAAUUCCAGGUGUAGCGAUGAAAUGCGUAGAGAUCUGGAGGAAUACCGGUGGCGAAGGCGGCCCCCUGGACGAAGACUGACGCUCAGGUGCGAAAGCGUGGGGAGCAAACAGG